UACGGGGGGUGCGAGCGUUGUCCGGAAUCACUGGGCGUAAAGGGCGCGUAGGUGGUUUGAUAAGGGUGUGGUGAAAGUCCGGGGCUCAACCCCGGAUCUGCCGUGCCGACUGUCAAACUCGAGGACUGUAGAGGCAGACGGAAUUCCGGGUGUAGCGGUGGAAUGCGUAGAGAUGCGGAGGAACACCGAUGGCGAAGGCAGCCCCCUGGGCUAACACUGACGCUCAGGCACGAAAGCGUGGGGAGCAAACAGG
rnacentral:rRNA from 1 species